rnacentral:rRNA from 1 species
UACGUAGGGCGCAAGCGUUGUCCGGAAUUAUUGGGCGUAAAGAGCUCGUAGGCGGUUUGUCGCGUCUGCUGUGAAAACCUAAGGCUCAACCUUGGGCUUGCAGUGGGUACGGGCAGACUAGAGUGCGGUAGGGGUGACUGGAAUUCCUGGUGUAGCGGUGGAAUGCGCAGAUAUCAGGAGGAACACCGAUGGCGAAGGCAGGUCACUGGGCCGCAACUGACGCUGGAGG